rnacentral:rRNA from 1 species
AAUCAACGCUGGCGGCGUGCCUCAGACAUGCAAGUCGAACGAUUAAAGCUCUCUUCGGAGAGUGCAUAGAGUGGCGCACGGGUGAGUAACACGUAAGUAAUCUACCCUCGAGUGGGGAAUAACGUCCGGAAACGGACGCUAAUACCGCAUAAUGCAGCGGCACCGCAAGGUGACAGUUGUUAAAGGAGAAAUUCGCUUGAGGAGGAGCUUGCGGCAGAUUAGCUUGUUGGUAAGGUAACGGCUUACCAAGGCUACGAUCUGUAACCGGUCUUAGAGGACGGUCGGUCACACUGACACUGAAUAACGGGUCAGACUCCUACGGGAGGCAGCAGUCGGGAAUUUUGGGCAAUGGGCGAAAGCCUGACCCAGCAACGCCGCGUGAAGGAUGAAGUAUUUCGGUAUGUAAACUU